ensembl:misc_RNA Metazoa_SRP Metazoan signal recognition particle RNA
UCCGGGCACGGUGGUGCAUGCCUGUAGUCCCAGUUACUCUGGAGGCUGAGGCUGGAGGAUCACUUGAGCCCAGGAGUUCUGGGCUGUAGUGUGCUAUGCUGAUCAGGUGUCUGUACUAAGUUCAGCAUCAAUAUGGUGACCUCCUGGGAGCAGGGAACCACCAGGUUGCCUAAGGAGGGGUGAACCGGCCCAGGUCAGAAACGGAGCAGGUCAAAACUCCCAUGCUGAUCAGUACUGGUAUUGCACCUGUUACCAGUCCCUGCACUCCAGCCUGGGCAACAUAGCAAGACCUUGUCUCUA